CGCGUAGGCGGUUUGUACAGUCAGACGUGAAAUUCCUGGGCUCAACCUGGGGGCUGCGUUUGAUACGUGCGGACUUGAGUUCGGAAGAGGGUCGUGGAAUUCCCAGUGUAGAGGUGAAAUUCGUAGAUAUUGGGAAGAACACCGGUGGCGAAGGCGGCGACCUGGUCCGAUACUGACGCUGAGGCGCGAAAGCGUGGGGAGGCAAAACA
rnacentral:rRNA from 1 species